rnacentral:snoRNA from 1 species
AGCCUAUGAUGAGCCUUUUAUUUCUGACACCUCAUAUGAAAGUGUUGCACAGCAAUGCUUGAUUAUGCUUUUCUAGCUGAGGCUU